CUAUUUUCUAAACGUUAUCUAGGGUAUCUCGUAAAUAAUAAACCUUUGUGAAAUAUCUUUGCGCAAUGGUCACAAAUACAUCACAUUGAUAUAAAUCAUUCCAUCAGACAAUAUAUACAUACAUCAAUAUAUAGUUAUUUUAAUUAUAUACAUUUUGUGUCUGUAUAAUACACCCUCUAUAUAUUCCGGCAUAUAUAUCCUCUAACAAGUAACGAGUUCGCAAAGUUUGUUUUGUCCAUAUAUUCUAAUAUCGCAACUAGCUAUAUGUGGGCUUAUCCGUGAUAAAUGUAUAUAAUUAAAAUAACUAUAUAUUGAUGUAUAUAUUGAUGGAAUGAUUUAUAUCGAUGUGAUGUAUUUGCCGGUGACCAUUGCGCAAAGAUAUUUCACAAAGGUUUAUUAUUUACGAGAUACCCUAGGUAACGUUUAGAAAAUAGAAUAUAGAAUUUUGGAAGACAAAUAGACUUGUGAACAGACUUGUAACAACUUGUUUGCAGACCUGUAACAACUUCUGCAUAAUAUUUUUUACGCGUGUUUAUAGUCUGGAAAUGUGCAAACCAAAAGAUAUUUUGUCAGACAAUUUUCAACACUUCGUUGAACGAACCAUUGGUAUAUUUUCGUCACGUAACUACCUUUAUAGUUUUUAUGUAAAAGAAGUGUAUUUUGUUUGUAUUGUUAAUGUAAGUUUUCUGACGGAAGGGCCUUUGGCUUUGACCGAAACGUCGAGAAGUUUCUAUUUUUUCGUUUUAGAUUGAGUGCUUGGCGUGUUGAUGUCAUAGAUAUAGUUGAUAUUCUCAAGAGC